rnacentral:lncRNA from 1 species
GUGAAUUUGCUUCCUCUCUCUCUUCCUGCCCCGUGAAGAUAAAAUAGGAAAUUGUCAGUCUGCAAGCCUGAAGGGGGCUCUCGUCAGAGCUCAAUCACCCUGUCACCUUGAUCUUGGACUAGCCUACAGAGCUACAGUUUGUUUGAAUCGGUAUCUAAAGAAGGUCCACUUGGUUGUAUCUCCGAAGUCUGUUGCUACCUGUAAUAAAUCCCACUACUCCUUCU